CAGGGCCUGCUCACGUGACCUCUGCAUGCUCUCCCCUGCGCGGAGCUAGAUGCGUGGGCUGCCCACUGCGCUGAAGCCGCUGAAGCCGCUGAAGUGAGACGUGUUGUCGGAGUGAGCCUGCGCCCAGAAUGACCAGGAGCAGCAGGGCGCCGAUCUGUUGGGCGGUGACGAGAAAGAGUCUGCUGCUGACGCUUGGGGUCAGUACAGCUGUCUUCAGUGGACAACACAGUGACGAUGGCUGCAAGAGAGCGCGGAGUAAGGAGAGGCAUGCAGCGGGUGACCCGGUGCUCAGGCUGACCAUGGCCGUAUGGAGCCUGGGUUCUGGGAGGGGUGGAAACCACCUCUAGCCCCCAGAGCCAUUCCCAGAGAGGAUUGGACUAAGACAGUUCUUCCCAAGCCUGAGCAAGCAUGGAAGUCAUCUGGAAUGUUCAUCGAAACUCAGCUUACUGGGGCCACCUCGGAGUCUCUGCUUCUGGAGCCGCCCCACUUCCCUCAUGACUGCCAGCCGUCUUUGAUGUCAACUAACCGAGACUAGAAUGUCUGCUGCUCAAGGAACCUGGGAGACCUAGCAGCUCUGCGAGGCAGUAAGGAAUGUCCAUUCCAGUUCAGGCAAACCAAGAGCCAACCAAACAGCUCUGCUGGUGUUUCUUUUUACGCUGCUGUGACCAUGCCCAGAGAGCUAUCUUCCAUAUCCCUUGCAAGCACAGUUUUACUCCCACAUGCGGAAUAGAGCUGCUUGAGUUCACUCUUGCUCAAAAUGAGAGCAUUAAAGGAGAUGACCACACCACCUGUCAGUUACUAAUUCAUACUUUUGGCAAUUUCUUGAAAAAUUGUUACCAUAUGCCAGGUGCUAUGCUAAGUUCCAAAAGACUUGUUCUUUGCCCUUAAGGAGGCAACAGCUGGUGAGGAAGACAGGCAAGUGAAUACAUUUCCUGGCAUCUGGAAAGCCUUCAAUAAAGGGGCGUCGUGGAGUAUGGGCUUCAUGGGUGAAAAUGGAUGAAGGCAUUCAGAGCAGAGGACACAGUAUUGGGGCACAGCAUGACACAGAUUUCUGCAAACUGUAUGUUGGUAUGACUGGAAUGAAGGAUUUUUAUUUAUUCCGUCAAAAAGCCCAAGUGUCGGGCGCUAUAUUUAGAAGGCCCAGCUUUGGGGUCUCUGCCCAGUGAAGGGUGGCAAAGAGCAGCAUGGCUCUGAGUGAGGUUAGAACAGCUGGGCCCAGUUGUGAAGGGCUUCAUGUACUAAGGCUUCAUAACGAAAGCAGUGGCUUGGGAUGUGAUGCCACGGGCAGUCAGGAGCCACUGAAGGUCUUAAACGUGAAGGCCCAAGGGACAGGGGACAUGAGUCAGAUAAAGAGAGGCAUUGUGGGGCCCUUUGCUUUAACCCUUAAGAUCCCAGCAAUCUGGGAACUGGAAUCCCAGCUCUUGAGGCACGAGGCGCCCAGUGAUGGGCAGAUGGCUGAAGGCACCAUUCCAGAAGAAAGCAAUCAUGGGCUAGGAGGCCAGGUUCUCAUCUGGCAGCCUCCUGGGGGAGUUUGCCUCUUGGGAGCAUCCCCUGGGGACAGGAACAGAAGUUGGGGGCAGGGAGGUGUGGGGUGGCAACAGCCACCUCCCUGCUGUGGAUGGAGAGCUACUUUUCUGGCUGUGUUAAAAGUUUCAUCAGAAAGAGGCUGUCCUGGCAGUGAUAGGGUAAAGAAUUUAGGGCUGAUUCAGUGUGUCUCCUUUCCAAAAGGGAGCCCAGGGGACAUGUGGGCUCCUUGAGAUGGGGGCCACAAGGGGCAUGUCAGUAUAGCUGCUGCAGGGCCUGGAAUGUCCACCUUCACAGAUUCCAUGGGAGGGUCCCCAGUCCCUCCUUUUCCAGCCCAUCUCUCCUGUGCAUCCCUUCACCACCAGCCUGGUGGAAGCGAGGCCUGUACAGGGCAGGCAGGAGGCUGGACCAGCCCCCAUGGCAGCCUUCUUCCAGACUCCUGAGAGGCAGGCCUGGUCUUGCCUCCUUUUGUGUCAGACUUCCCUUCUCUGACCCCAGUUCCAUUUCAAACAAGCCCUCUCCUCAGCCUCAGCACCGAGCACUCAGGGCUGGUUCUUUCUACAAUUGUCCCCUGGUGCCAGAGACGGUGCGCUGGGCGCUCAGCGUUGCUGAGACUGGUUCCUGGGCCGGCUGUGAGCACUUGCACUUUCAUGCUCAGGGCACAACCAGCUCCUCUCUGCGUUUUCUCACGCAGACCGCUCUUGUAGCAGUGGAACUGCGAGCACCUUUGCUGCUAACGAGAAAUUCUGCAGAACCAGACAGAAAACCAACACACCAAGUGUUCUCCUGACUCCACGUCCUCCUCCGUUAGCAAAAGGUCAUUGUCCUCAGAGACCCACAGCGAAUAGAGCACAGCCCCUUCUGCUGGGCCUUAUGGAGCACACUGAAGGCGUUCGCAGCUCCAACCCUGUCGUGGGGGGCUAAGAACUGACUUGGGGUGGGUUAUGCCCUGUCUCUGGGCUUCAGUUUUCUCACCUGUGAAAUGGAGUGACAGGCAUGACUUUCUCAGGGUAGAGGAUUACUUAGCCAUGCAAAGCAUUGAGCGUCUGGACACGGGAAGCACUCGGUAAUGCUGGACACAUUCUUAGCACCACCACUCUCAUCACCAUGAUACCAUCUCUCCUGGAAGGCUGACUCCUGUGCCCCUUCUCCAUGAAACCAUCCCCAGUUUCCAAGUGGCAGAAACCUGUUCUGCCUUGUGCUUUCAUAGGACUCAAUUUGCAUCUCUCCUUUGGCUCUUGAGUUUUCUACAUCAAAUGUGUGGUUUGCUUGCUCACGUUGUCUUGCACACCAUUAUAUGCUCUGACCCUGACAAUUCCUGAUAGGUCAGAAUUUUUUGCAGGACAGACAUUCUGGCCCUGCCGAUACUUUGCUAGAUUUCUGCACGAUAGCUUCAUGCUCCCAGAAGUCGUUUCCGUUGCUGGUUUUGGUACAGGAAGCACAUAGGUUUGUCUAAAACCUUUAGGUUGCCUUUGGGCGCAGGCCGUUACUUAACUAGGCCACGUGUAAGGCACCAGCCCAGACAAGGAGCCUAGGAUGGGACUGACAUCCACGUAAGCAGGUUAGAGACGUUGCUCUCAGGAAACCUGCACCUCUUACAGCCCCAAAUUCAAGCAAGCCCUUGACCUCCGCCACCAAUGGAAGGUCACACAUCCAAAGUGUCUUCAUUUCUCUCUCUGACCCCUACCACAUUUUUGUAAAAAUAAAAUGGGAAAUUAAAAAAAAUUACUCAAUCUUUACCUCCUAGAAGGCCUAAAACCUUUAAUCACAGAGAUUUCACAAGCUUUUACAAAAC